rfam:Triticum aestivum genome assembly, contig: Triticum_aestivum_CS42_TGACv1_scaffold_179562_2DS
CUACUACUCCCUCCGUUCUAAAUUACUCGUCGCUGAAAUGGAUGUAUCUAGAACUAAAACAUAUCCAGAUACAUCCAUACGUGCGACAAGUAAUUUGGAACGGAGGGAGUACCAU